UGACGUGUGGACUAAUAGCUGUCCAAAUUCAUUCAUUUCUGUGAGCUCUACCCACAACACAAUAGUCCGUUUUCGCCGUCCAUUUCUUGCCAAUCAAAUCAUCCCCCCUCUCAGUUUCUCUCCAUUUCUUUCCAGUCAAAUCGAAGCUUCGGUCCCGGCUUCCAUUUCUUACCAAUCAGAUUCCACCCCCUCUUCCAUUUCUUACCAAUGAAAAAAUCUGUCCGCCUCAACACCCGCCUCCUGCCGCCUCGACCAAUCAGAAGGCUGUUGCUAUGCGAGUGCCGACAGAAACGAAAGUUGACUGAAAGUUCCGUCAAAGCUAACACACCGGCACAUUUCAUGAUUGAAAAUUGUCCACUCCAGAAUCGGGUUCAGAUGUCUUUGUUUGGUCUGCUUGUGUGUGUUUCACACUUAAAAGACACCUCAGGAACAGACAACUUGAUCUCCCUCUUCAUCUGCAGGCUCUCCUGCAGUUUCUUCCAAUGUCGCUUUACCCUCUGAGGACGCUGCAAAGUGACCUAAACUGCC